CCCAGUUCGGAUUGUAGGCUGCAACCCGCCUACAUGAAGUUGGAAUUGCUAGUAAUCGCAGAUCAGAAUGCUGCGGUGAAUACGUUCCCGGGCCUUGUACACACCGCCCGUCACACCAUGGGAGCCGGUAAUACCCGAAGUCAGUAGUCUAACCGCAAGGGGACGCUGCCGAAGGUAGGAUUGGCGACUGGGGUGAAGUCGUAACAAGGUAUC
rnacentral:rRNA from 1 species